UAAGGAAUAUUGGUCAAUGGACGCAAGUCUGAACCAGCCAUGCCGCGUGAAGGAUGAAGGUCCUCUGGAUUGUAAACUUCUUUUAUCUGGGACGAAAACGGGAUUUUUAUCUCAAUUGACGGUACCAGAGGAAUAAGCACCGGCUAACUCCGUGCCAGCAGCCGCGGUAAUACGGAGGGUGCGAGCGUUAUCCGGAUUUACUGGGUUUAAAGGGUGCGUAGGUGGGCUUAUAAGUCAGUGGUGAAAUCUCCGAGCUUAACUUGGAAACUGCCGUUGAUGCUAUAGGUCUUGAAUUAUCUGGAGGUAAGCGGAAUAUGUCAUGUAGCGGUGAAAUGCUUAGAUAUGACAUAGAACACCAAUUGCGAAGGCAGCUUACUACAUAUAAAUUGACGCUGAGGCACGAAAGCGUGGGGAUCAAACA
rnacentral:rRNA from 1 species